rnacentral:rRNA from 1 species
CAGUAGCCGCGGUAAUACAGAGGGUGCGAGCGUUAAUCGGAUUUACUGGGCGUAAAGCGUGCGCAGGCGGUUUUGUAAGACAGAGGUGAAAUCCCCGGGCUCAACCUGGGAACUGCCUUUGUGACUGCAAGGCUAGAGUACGGCAGAGGGGGAUGGAAUUACGCGUGUAGCAGUGAAAUGCGUAGAUAUGCGGAGGAACACCGAUGGCGAAGGCAAUCCCCUGGGCCUGUACUGACGCUCAUGCACGAAAGCGUGGGGAGCAAACAGGAUUAGAUACCCCCGUAGUCCCUGUCUCUUAUAC